UGAUCAAUAGCUGAUUUGAGAGGAUGAUCAGCCACAUUGGGACUGAGACACGGCCCAAACUCCUACGGGAGGCAGCAGUGGGGAAUCUUGCACAAUGGAGGAAACUCUGAUGCAGCGAUGCCGCGUGAGUGAAGAAGGCCUUUGGGUUGUAAAGCUCUUUCGUCGGGGAAGAAAAUGACUGUACCCGAAUAAGAAGGUCCGGCUAACUUCGUGCCAGCAGCCGCGGUAAUACGAAGGGACCUAGCGUAGUUCGGAAUUACUGGGCUUAAAGAGUUCGUAGGUGGUUGAAAAAGUUGGUGGUGAAAUCCCAGAGCUUAACUCUGGAACUGCCAUCAAAACUUUUCAGCUAGAGUAUGAUAGAGGAAAGCAGAAUUUCUAGUGUAGAGGUGAAAUUCGUAGAUAUUAGAAAGAAUACCAAUUGCGAAGGCAGCUUUCUGGAUCAUUACUGACACUGAGGAACGAAAGCAUGGGUAGCGAAGAGGAUUAGAUACCCUCGUAGUCCAUGCCGUAAACGAUGUGUGUUAGACGUUGGAAAUUUAUUUUCAGUGUCGCAGGGAAACCGAUAAACACACCGCCUGGGGAGUACGACCGCAAGGUUAAAACUCAAAUGAAUUGACGGGGACCCGCACAAGUAGUGGAGCAUGUGGUUUAAUUCGAAGAUACGCGCAGAACCUUACCAACACUUGACAUGUUCGUCGCGACUCUAAGAGAUUAGAGUUUUCGGUUCGGCCGGACGAAACACAGGUGCUGCAUGGCUGUCGUCAGCUCGUGUCGUGAGAUGUUGGGUUAAGUCCCGCAACGAGCGCAACCCUCACUUUUAGUUGCCAUCAUUAAGUUGGGCACUCUGAAAGAACUGCCAGUGAUAAGCUGGAGGAAGGUGGGGAUGACGUCAAGUCCUCAUGGCCCUUAUGUGUUGGGCUACACACGUGCUACAAUGGCAUCUACAACAGGAAGCAAAACGGCAACGUUAAGCAAAUCCCGAAAAGAUGCCUCAGUUCGGAUUGCACUCUGCAACUCGAGUGCAUGAAGCUGGAAUUACUAGUAAUCGUGGAUCAGCGUGCCACGGUGAAUGCGUUCCCGGGUCUUGUACACACCGCCCGUCACACCAUGGGAGUUGGUUCUACCUUAAGGCAAGGUUUUAAACCCUUGACCACGGUAUAGUCAGCGACUGGGGUGAAGUCGUAACAAGGUAGCCGUAGGGGAACCUGCGGCUGGAUUACCUCCUUUCUAAG
rnacentral:rRNA from 1 species